rnacentral:rRNA from 1 species
ACCAGACUCCUACGGGAGGCAGCAGUGGGGAAUAUUGCACAAUGGGGGAAACCCUGAUGCAGCGACGCCGCGUGGGUGAAGGAGUAUUUCGGUAUGUAAAGCCCUAUCAGCAGGGAAGAUAAUGACGGUACCUGACUAAGAAGCCCCGGCUAACUACGUGCCAGCAGCCGCGGUAAUACGUGGGGGGCAAGCGUUAUCCGGAUUUACUGGGUGUAAAGGGAGCGUAGACGGCAGCGCAAGCCUGGAGUGAAAGGAUGGGGCCCAACCCCAUGACUGCUCUGGGAACUGUGCGGCUAGAGUGCAGGAGAGGUAAGUGGAAUUCCUAGUGUAGCGGUGAAAUGCGUAGAUAUUAGGAGGAACACCAGUGGCGAAGGCGGCUUACUGGACUGUAACUGACGUUGAGGCUCGAAAGCGUGGGGAGCAAACAGGAUUAGAUACCCCCGUACU